UGGCGGACGGGUGAGUAAUGUCUGGGAAACUGCCUGAUGAGGGGGAUAACUACUGGAAACGGUAGCUAAUACCGCAUAACGUCGCAAGACCAAAGAGGGGGACCUUAGGGCCUCUUGCCAUCGGAUGUGCCCAGAUGGGAUUAGCUAGUAGGUGGGGUAAAGGCUCACCUAGGCGACGAUCCCUAGCUGGUCUGAGAGGAUGACCAGCCACACUGGAACUGAGACACGGUCCAG
rnacentral:rRNA from 1 species